GUCGGGGUUGAGAAACCGGCCUCGAGGUGGAGUCACGGAAGGAUACACUUGCCGUGUGAUUUUACCGGAGAGGCACAAGAGCAUACUCAAGCCGGAGUCGAUGAACGCGACGCUGAUCAACGUGGUGCAUCAUUUCCACCUGAAAGACGGGUUCACGUUUGCUGACGUGGAUAAGGAGGUUAUGGUGAUUAAUCACUAUAAAUAUCAGGUGUGGGAAGUUUUCAAGGAGAAGUUUUAUAGGAGAGUCGCGACUUACGUGGCGGAUUGGCAAAACGAUGAGAAUGUCGGGUCGAGAGAUCGGGCGCCCGGUUUGGGAACCCGACCCGUUGAGCCGCCUGAUUGGGCGGAGAGAUUCUGCGAGGUUAAUGAUACGGGGCUUAGAGAUCAGGUGUUGGAGAAAUUUAAAGACAAUAAAUCACAGCGUUUGAUAUGGGAAAAGGAGGAAGACGAAGGCUCACGACAGGCCCAUAAUAGGAUAGAUUGAAAGAUUAAACAUCAGCUUAGUAAAGCUCAUUGGUCAUCAUUUUUGGAAACUUUUUUCUUUCUGUAACUAACUUUUUGUGGAAGAUAUAUGUGACAAUGCCAGAUUUUUUUUUCUCUGUAAUUUUUGUCUUAGUGAAGUAAAAUAAAGAACUUCCAAAAAUUUCUAAAUCAUGAAACUCUGCUUUGUGAUUUUGCAUAGGUAGAUUUAACUACACAACAACAUACACCACGUAGUUAUCUUUCUAUGGUGAAUUUUUGGUAUUGAGUUGCUCGAGGUUUGGGUCAACAUCAAUCCAAGUUUCUGUUCCCUAACUUCCUAUGCAAGAAAACCCUAAUCAAAGGCUAAGAAGCAAAACAGAGGAACGGCCUAUCAAGAUAGGUUGCAGAGUUACACUAUUGAGGAAGUUGGCGGUGCAAACAGUCAUCUCUCAUCUAUGGAAGCAAAGGAACAAUUUGGUGCAUAAUCAGUCAACUAUACCGAUUUCUACAGUGUUCUACAGUAUUGACAAAGAGCUAAGAAACAUCAUUUCAGCGAGGAGAGUUAGAAAGAGUUUCAGUGCCUUCAUGGUGAUGUGGUUGAGAUAGGUUCUCGUAGGAUAUAUUUUCAGUGCUCCAUCUUGUUUUUUGUUAUUUUUUGCCAAGAUAGUUCAAAAUCUAAGAUCAUCUCUUGUAGAAUCUUUUAUUCAUCUAUAUGAUAUUUACAAUUUAGCAAAAAAAAAAAAGUUUCAGAGAGAGGAUAUUUCGAAAUUACUUGCAUCUUCACAAAGUGUUAUUUCCUUUAGACAUAUUACGUUUGUGUUUCUUCUUGAAAUCUAUAGUCUUUGACAUUAAACAUCCGAAAAAUCUAUUUAUACAUUUGGUGAUAACAUCUUUUCUUAUGUUACUAAUUUGGUUACAUAUGCUUGUUGUAGACUGAUAAAAUAAGCGAUCAGAGUCAUUAUUCCACUAAUGACACAUUUAAGGUUUUAAAACAAAGUUUGACUUGUUAAAAAAAUUUUGUUUUGACAAAUAGUAUAUCAUUACUGGCACCUGUACAUCGAAUGUCGUCAUGAUGGCAACGUAAACUUUGACACUGAUCUAACAAGAGUUUGGGUCGUUUGGAUUAGGGCCAUUUCAUAUAAUGUUUACUUAUUUUACGGUUAAAAAAAUCUAAAAUCUUCACACAAAAAGUUCUAUAUAAACCAACUUUCAAGAACUCAUUUUCACAACAAAAAAAACAUUCGAGUCUUAUCUCAAAUUCAAGCUCAGCUAAUACAAGCAUCGAUCGACCACGAUAACUCCACGGUGGUGUUCGUCAAGGGACUUAAUCUAAAGCCGGGGAAAGUUGCUGACGUGUCGAGAUACGAGUGCGUGUACGGCUGGGAUUUCGCGAAACACAAUCGGUUGAUCAGAUCAGACGUGAUCUCUGCGGCGCAGGAGAUCGUACGGUGCAGAACACCGUUAACAGUGUUAAACGGCCCAAAAUCAGCCCAUGGGCCGGUUAAAGUUUCGGUUCGAAUCAAAGGAGGAACCGGUAUGCUUCCAUCGAUCGCUCAACCGGAUCGGAUCGUUCACCCACCGCGACGGAAACCGUUCGAGAUGUGCGUUUGCACCAUGACGCGAAACGCAGCCGCGGUUCUGAGAGAGUGGGUGAUGUACCACGCCGGAAUCGGCGUUCAGCGGUGGUUUAUCUACGAUAACAACAGCGACGACGACAUCAUCGCUGAGAUAAAAUAUCUCGAGCGACGCGGUUACAACGUCUCACGACAUUUCUGGCCGUGGAUCAAGACUCAGGAAGCCGGAUUCUCGAAUUGCGCGAUCCGCGCGAGAAACGAUUGCGAUUGGAUCGCGUUCAUCGACGUCGACGAGUUCUACUACAUCCGCUCCGGUGAAAGCCUAACAAGCAUCAUCAGAAACUAUACUGCCUCUGCCGAGAUCGGAGAAAUCAGAACGCCGUGCCACAGUUUCGGACCGUCGGGGUUGAGAAACCGGCCUCGAGGUGGAGUCACGGAAGGAUACACUUGCCGUGUGAUUUUACCGGAGAGGCACAAGAGCAUACUCAAGCCGGAGUCGAUGAACGCGACGCUGAUCAACGUGGUGCAUCAUUUCCACCUGAAAGACGGGUUCACGUUUGCUGACGUGGAUAAGGAGGUUAUGGUGAUUAAUCACUAUAAAUAUCAGGUGUGGGAAGUUUUCAAGGAGAAGUUUUAUAGGAGAGUCGCGACUUACGUGGCGGAUUGGCAAAACGAUGAGAAUGUCGGGUCGAGAGAUCGGGCGCCCGGUUUGGGAACCCGACCCGUUGAGCCGCCUGAUUGGGCGGAGAGAUUCUGCGAGGUUAAUGAUACGGGGCUUAGAGAUCAGGUGUUGGAGAAAUUUAAAGACAAUAAAUUACAGCGUUUGAUAUGGGAAAAGGAGGAAGACGAAGGCUCACGACAGGCCCA
rnacentral:lncRNA from 1 species